AUUGAACGCUGGCGGCAGGCCUAACACAUGCAAGUCGAACGAGUGGCGGACGGGUGAGUAAUGUAUGGGAACCUGCCUGAUGGCGGGGGAUAACUACUGGAAACGGUAGCUAAUACCGCAUACCAUCAGAUGUGCCAAGAUGGGAUUAGCUAGUUGGUGGGGUAACGGCUCACCAAGGCGACGAUCCCUAGCUGGUCUGAGAGGAUGACCAGCCACACGGGAACUGAGACACGGUCCAGACUCCUACGGGAGGCAGCAGUGGGGAAUAUUGCACAAUGGGCGAAAGCCUGAUGCAGCCAUCCCGCGUGUAUGAGGAAGGCCUUCGGGUUGUAAAGUACUUUCAGCGGGGAGGCGGUACCCGCAGAAGAAGCACCGGCUAACUACGUGCCAGCCGCCGCGGUAAUUC
rnacentral:rRNA from 1 species